rnacentral:lncRNA from 1 species
CAGAUUAACUCAUAACUACUCCUAAUUAAUACUUUAAUAAAAAUAAAACAAAAUCUCUCAUUCUUCUAUUGGAUUUUCUUCAUCAAACCACCUUAGAGGAUCAAAUCCAAACGUGCCUAAAUUUGCUUCAUUCUUCAAUUAAAGGUACCUCCGAAAUUAGGUAAAAGCGUCUCUUUUGAGGCAGAACACUUAUCUUUUUCCAUCUUUCGAGCUCAAACAAUUUUCUCUAGUGGGUUCUACUUUUCAAUUCUUUAGUGCUGUGAGGAUGAUUCUUCUCAGAUCUUUGCUCCUGUCAGUAUGAGGUGCUGCUUCAACUACUUUCUUUUGCUCCCUUCUGCACCACCUUUGGUGCUUAUGCUCCACUGCCCUCCUCACCACAUCACCAUCUCUGCCUUCUUCAAAACAUCAU